rnacentral:rRNA from 1 species
AGGGGAAUUUUGGACAAUGGGCGAAAGCCUGAUCCAGCAAUGCCGCGUGUGUGAAGAAGGCCUUCGGGUUGUAAAGCACUUUUGUCCGGAAAGAAAUCCUUGGCUCUAAUACAGUCGGGGGAUGACGGUACCGGAAGAAUAAGCACCGGCUAACUACGUGCCAGCAGCCGCGGUAAUACGUAGGGUGCAAGCGUUAAUCGGAAUUACUGGGCGUAAAGCGUGCGCAGGCGGUUUGCUAAGACCGAUGUGAAAUCCCCGGGCUCAACCUGGGAACUGCAUUGGUGACUGGCAGGCUAGAGUAUGGCAGAGGGGGGUAGAUUCCGNNNGUGUAGCAGUGAAAUGCGUAGAGAUGUGGAGGAUACCGAUGGCGAAGGCAGCCCCUGGGGCCAAUANUGACCGCGUCAUGCACGAAAGCGUGGGGAGCAAACAGGAUUAGAUACCCUGGUAGUCCACGCCCUAAACGAUGUCAACUAGUUGUUGGGGAUUCAUUUCCUUAGUAACGUAGCUAACGCGUGAAGUUGGCCGCCUGGGGAGUACGGUCGCAAGAUUAAAACUCAAAUGAAUUGACGGGGUCAUAGCUGUUUCCUG